rnacentral:rRNA from 1 species
CCUACGGGAGGCAGCAGUGAGGAAUAUUGCACAAUGGGCGAAAGCCUGAUGCAGCGACGCCGCGUGCGGGAAGAAGGCCUUCGGGUUGUAAACCGCUUUUCUGGGGGACGAGCAAGGACGGUACCUCAGGAAUAAGUCCCGGCUAACUACGUGCCAGCAGCCGCGGUAAUACGUAGGGGGCAAGCGUUAUCCGGAAUCACUGGGCGUAAAGGGCGUCUAGGCGGCAAGGCAAGUCUCGCGUAAAAGCUCCCGGCUCAACUGGGAGAGCGCGCGGGAAACUGCCUGGCUAGAGACUCGGAGAGGGGUGUGGAAUUCCCGGUGGAGUGGUGAAAUGCGUUGAGAUCGGGAGGAACACCAGUAGCGAAGGCGGCACCCUGGCCGAGUUCUGACGCUGAAGCGCGACAGCGUGGGGAGCAAACGGGAUUAGAUACCCCGGUAGUCCACGCCGUAAACGAUGACAACUAGGUGUCGGGCAUCUAAGGAUGUUCGUGCCGCAGCCAACGCGAUAAGUUGACCGCCUGGGGAGUACGGCCGCAAGGCUAAAACUCAAAUGAAUUGACGG